UACGGAGGAUCCGAGCGUUAUCCGGAUUUAUUGGGUUUAAAGGGUCCGUAGGCGGAUCUGUAAGUCAGUGGUGAAAUCUCACAGCUUAACUGUGAAACUGCCAUUGAUACUGCAGGUCUUGAGUGUUAUUGAAGUAGCUGGAAUAAGUAGUGUAGCGGUGAAAUGCAUAGAUAUUACUUAGAACACCAAUUGCGAAGGCAGGUUACUAAGCAACAACUGACGCUGAUGGACGAAAGCGUGGGGAGCGAACAGG
rnacentral:rRNA from 1 species